GAGGGCAUAGCUCAGUGGUAGAGUGCAUGCUUAGCAUGCAUAGGGUCCUGGGUUCAAUCCCUAGUACCUCUG
rnacentral:tRNA from 1 species